UCUCCGUUGGUGAACCAGCGGAGGGAUCAUUACUGAGUUACCGCUCUACAACCCUUUGUGAACAUUCCUAACUGUUGCUUAGGCGGGCAGAGGUCCCUCGCGGAACUCCCCCGGGAACGCCUUCACGGGAGGAGCGCCCGCCGGAGUAUACCAAACUCUAUUUUAACGACGUUUCUUCUGAGUGGCACAGGCAAAUAAUUACAACUUUUAACAACGGAUCUCUUGGUUCUG
rnacentral:misc_RNA from 1 species